UACGUAGGGGGCAAGCGUUGUCCGGAUUCAUUGGGCGUAAAGAGCUCGUAGGCGGUUCAGUAAGUCGGGUGUGAAAUCUCCGUGCUCAACACGGAGCGGCCACCUGAUACUGCUGUGACUCGAGUCCGGUAGGGGAGUGUGGAAUUCCCGGUGUAGCGGUGAAAUGCGCAGAUAUCGGGAGGAACACCGAUGGCGAAGGCAGGUCUCUGGGCCACUACUGACGCUGAGAAGCGAAAGCAUGGGGAGCGAACAGGG
rnacentral:rRNA from 1 species